AUGCACUAUCUUUGCUGUUCAGCUCAAAUGGCCGAGGCAGUACUCAUUGCUGUGACGAAGAUUGGUUCCAUUUUAGCAGAUGAAGCCAUCAUGGCCAUUAUAGAUAAGUUGUCUGAAAAAGUUACUAAUCUGAAGGAACUGCCAGUAAAGAUUGAGCAAAUAAGAAAGCAACUGAAUAUGAUGAGUAAUGUUAUAAGGAAAAUAGUCACGGUAUAUCUCACAGAUGAACUUGUCAAGAGUUGGAUUGGGGAGGUCCGCAAUGUGGCCUACCAUGUUGAAGAUGUAAUGGAUAAAUACUCAUACCAUGCUCUUCAACUUAAGGAAGAAGGUUUCCUCAAGAAAUUCUUCAUUAAAGCAACACAUUAUGUCAAGGUUUUCAGUGAAAUUGCCAAUAAUGUAGUUGACGUAGAGAAGGAGAUUCAGCUAGUUAUACAGAUGAAAGAUCAGUGGUUGCAGCCCUCCCAGCUUGACGCCAACACACUUGCUGAGAUGGAAAGACAGCGGUCCCAAGACGGCUUCCCUGAAUUUGUCAAGGAUGAAGAUCUUGUAGGAAUUGAAGACAACAGGAUAUUGCUGACCAAAUGGCUGUACUCCGAAGAGCAGGAAAACACUGUGAUAACAGUAUCGGGCAUGGGUGGGUUGGGAAAAUCUACCCUGGUCUCAAAUGUUUAUGAACGUGAAAAGAUCAACUUCUCUGCAAAUGCAUGGAUCGUUGUGUCACAGGUUUACACUGUUGAUGCCCUGUUGAGGAAGCUACUAUGGAAGAUCGGAUACACCGAACAACCAUCGUCUCAAAUGGACGUGCAUGACUUGAAAAAGGAAAUACAGAAGAGACUUGAAAAUAGAAAAUACUUGAUUGUGCUGGAUGAUGUCUGGGAGCAAGAGGUAUACUUCCAAAUACGUGAUGCUUUCCAGAAUCUGCAAGGAAGUCGGAUCAUCAUUACAACACGGAAGGACCAUGUCGCCGGAAUCUCUCCUUCCGACCGUCACCUUGAGCUGCAGCCGUUGAGUAAUUCUGACGCCUUUGACCUCUUCUGCAGAAGGGCUUUUUACAACCAGAGGGGCCACAUGUGCCCCAAGGAUUUUGAGAUAAUUGCUGCCUCUAUAGUUGAAAGAUGUCAUGGCCUGCCUCUAGCAAUUGUUACCAUUGGUAGCCUGUUGUCCUCCAGACCACGAUUAGACAUUUGGACACAAAAGUACAAUCAGCUUCGAAGUGAGCUGUCAAACAAUGAUCAUGUCCGAGCAAUUUUCAAUCUGAGUUACCAUGACCUUUCAGAUGAUCUCAGAAACUGCUUCUUGUACUGCAGUCUGUUCCCAGAAGACCACCCCAUGCCACGUGACAGCCUUGUGCGGCUGUGGGUUGCAGAAGGCUUUGUGGUGAGUAAAGAAAAGAACACACCAGAGGUGGUCGCUGAGGGCAAUCUUAUGGAAUUGAUCCACCGCAAUAUGCUUGAAGUUGUGGAGACUGAUGAGCUUGGUAGGGUUAGCACCUGUAAGAUGCAUGAUAUUGUGCGUGAACUGGCUAUUUCUGUUGCUAAAGAAGAGAGAUUUGCUUCAGCAAAUGACCAGCGUGAAAUGAUACAGAUGGAUAAGGAUGUUCGCCGGCUAUCAGCAUGUGGAUGGAAAGAAAACACUGCAUUGACACUUAAAUUUCCACGUCUUAGAACUGUAGUGUCACUUGGAGUAAUUUCAUCCUCCCCUGGCAUGUUGUCUUCAAUCCUGUCUGAAUCUAGCUACCUGAGUGUUCUUGAGCUUCAAGACUCUGAAAUCACUGAAGUGCCAGCAUCGAUAGGGCAUCUGUUCAAUCUACGUUACAUUGGCUUACGACGCACCAAGGUCAAAUCACUCCCGGAUUCUGUUGAGAAUCUUUCUAACCUCCACACUCUGGACAUUAAGCAAACCAAAAUAGAGAAGCUACCACGGGGAAUUGUUAAGAUCAGGAAGUUACGGCACCUUUUAGCUGAUAGAUAUGCUGAUGAGAAGCAGACAGAGUUCCGUUACUUUAUGGGAAUGCAUGCACCUAAAGAGCUGUCCAACUUGGAAGAACUGCAAACUCUUGAGACUGUGGAAUCUAGUAACAACUUGGCUGAGCAGCUGAAGAAACUGAUGCAACUAAGCAGUUUGUGGAUUGACAACAUAAGUGCUGCUGACUGUGCACUUCUGUUUGCUACCCUGUCAGAUAUGCCACUUCUUUCCAGCUUGCUUCUUUCUGCAAAGGAUGAGAAUGAGACACUUUGCUUUGAGGCUCUGAAGCCAAAGUCUACAGAUCUGCGCAAGUUGAUUAUCAGAGGGCAAUGGGCUAAGGGGACACUGAAUUGGCCGAUAUUUCUUGACCAUGGAACCCACCUCAAGUAUCUUGCUCUAAGCUGGUGCGACCUUGGGGAAGAUCCACUGAAGAUCCUUGCACCACACCUGCCGAACCUCACAUUUCUAAAACUGAACAACAUGCAUAGUGCAAAUACUUUGGUUCUAUCUGCAGGUUCCUUCCCCAGUCUGAAGACACUGGUCUUGAAGCACAUGCCUGAUGUCAGCCAGAUGAACAUCAUUGAUGGCGCUCUUCCAUGCAUUGAAGGUUUGUACAUCGUGUCUCUGUUGAAGCUGGAUAAGGUCCCCCAAGGCAUUGAAUCACUUGGCUCCCUGAAGAAGCUCUGGCUGCUGAGCUUGCACAAGGAUUUCAGAAGUCAAUGGGUCACUAGUGGGAUGCAUCAGAAGAUAAUGCAUGUUCCAGAGAUUCGUGUCUAG
rnacentral:rRNA from 1 species